rnacentral:lncRNA from 1 species
AUUAAAUAAAAUAUUUUAUUUUCUUAUAAAACAAUAUUUAUAGAACUCUGCGUAAAUGAUUUUUGUAGUGUAAAAGCAAAAUAAAUUCAUACAUGCAGUGGCACACGUAGCAAAGUAUACAAAAUAUUCUACAAUGACAUUUGGGCCCAAUAUAACUGAAAAUAUAAAAGACUGUAGACCUUCGAUUUCUAAGGAUGCAAAUCCAAAAGCAAUCAUCGACAAAAUCGGUUAUCUACAGACUGUCUUGAGCCUAAAAUGGAUAAAAAAAAAGGGGUGAGUUUUUACAAACCCAAUGAGUAAGCAAAAUUCAUCUAUAACAUUUAAAACCGAGUAAAUGGAGACAGUUAAAUCAUCCCAUCAUAAUAUAGUUCAUAACAUUCAAAACUCAUUUCAAUUCCUAUAAAACAAUUACAUUUCAUCAAAAUAAUCAACAAGGCUUAUGAUUCUCUUAAAAACUUGACUUGUGCCAAAACUCAUACUCGGUGACACCUUGGCCCGAGCAUCCAACCGAGUCCGCCAAGGAUGUUAAAACGACAUAUACCCAUAAAACAUGUUUUUAGUUUUAAAAUAUAGCCAUUCCUUGGCGUUGACUGAGUUUCAUCAUCACGUGGUGGUUCAGCGUGAAGUAAACUCUAAACUUACCUUAGGAGAUACCCUUCGCGCCUCUCAUACUAAGGUAAAAUAUAACGGGGUUUACCGUGCCCUUCUAAUAGGCUGGUCCAUGAAAACCCGCCCACUGCAAUAAGCUAAUCAAAUAACCUACCAAAUCAAUAAAUAUUUCGACAGCAUGACAUGGCUAAUAUGAUAAUAUCCAGCCUGUCAAGGUAAAAUAAAAACAGUUCGUAUAAUCCACAAAUCACAAAUCCAGCCAUUCAUGCUACCACAAUUUCAUAAGCCAUCAAUUCAAAUCAUGUAUAUAUAUAUAUAAUACGGAUGUAUAGCCUUCACUUACUCUAUUUCGUAAAUCAACAUUUAGUUUUAGAAUAAUUUAUAAAUCUCAUUCAUUUAACCAACAUUUAAAAUGUAAAACAUAAUAAUUUGCAAAUUAAGUGCCUUAUUCUUUAAAAUCUUAAAACAAGUAUAAAUCACUUUAGAUAAUUAAGAUGAACAUCUGAUUACUCACAAUAGCAGGAGUUUGAAGUGGUUCUAUUCUUGGUCCUCGGGCACAAUAUCUUUACCCUUAUCAGAGGGCUCACCACCUAUACAUAAUACACGACAUGUAAUUCAAUAUAUUUUAUGCCAAACUGUUAUAAAACUAUUGCAGGCUCUAUAUGAAUGCAUGACAUUGAAUGAGAAUUGUCCGAAUAAUCAUUUAAAAACGGUGUUCUACGUGGGUUCAAUUAUGAUCGGACUGAAUUGGCAUUUGACCUAACUCGCACUAUGCCUUGUUUAAUUAGCCAAAACAUCCAAUUCAACUCCAAAUAUCUUCAUUACACUUCCAAUAUUUCAAAUACACCAAAGUACCUCAAUGAGCUUAAUUGUGACUUAAUUUAUCGUAACCGAAAUUCAUUCCGAUUUCGAUAUCCGAUACCAUAUAUCAUCAAUUCCUAGCUAAAUAACAUGAUUUACAACCAAAUCCAUCAUCAACAUGUCACCUAAUAAAUUCAACCAAAGAGGGUUAUUGAAGGGCAUGUGAUUUUUUUGCUUGUUUUUCCUUCCAAACAUCACAAAAUGACUAAAAACACUAGAAUAUUAUAAACUCUAGCCAAAUUCAUCACCAAAACUUCUCUCUCUAGGUUUGGCCAGCAAAGGUUCCCUCUUGAAAACUUGAAUUUCAGCCAUGAAGAAUGAACAAGGAUGCAUGGGAAAGGUAGAUCACAAGCUAAAAUUAAAAAAUCUUACCUUUACUUGCUUGAUUCCUUGAAAUCCAACAAUUUCUCUUGGAUUUUUCCUUCCUAGGGUUUGUUCUUCUCUUUUCUCUUUGUUCUUUAAUUUGGCCGGCCAAGAGAGAGUGAU